UACGAAGGGGGCUAGCGUUGCUCGGAAUCACUGGGCGUAAAGGGUGCGUAGGCGGGUCUUUAAGUCAGGGGUGAAAUCCUGGAGCUCAACUCCAGAACUGCCUUUGAUACUGAAGAUCUUGAGUUCGGGAGAGGUGAGUGGAACUGCGAGUGUAGAGGUGAAAUUCGUAGAUAUUCGCAAGAACACCAGUGGCGAAGGCGGCUCACUGGCCCGAUACUGACGCUGAGGCACGAAAGCGUGGGGAGCAAACAGGAGUUAAGAAAC
rnacentral:rRNA from 1 species